GUUUUGUGAUGAUCCCCAUGCGUGUCAACUGAUCCCAGACUCCCUGCAGUGCUCAAUGUCUGAUGAGCGUUUUGCUCAACAGUGCAUUUUGAGCCUGUAGGACUCUGGGAACUUGAUCUUAACUUUUAAAUCUGAAAAC
rnacentral:snoRNA from 8 species